rnacentral:piRNA from 1 species
UAAGACGCUCCAAGGCCAUCGACUACGGG